GAAGUACAGAGGCACCGCGUGAGUGUCGAGCAGGCUGAGUGUGCUCAAAAAUCAGCAAAAAGCCUGUGUGGGUGGCAUGGAAUGAGGAAGAGGAAAUGCAGAGAUAUAAUCGAUGUAAAUAAACUCAAGACCACAGAAAAUAGGAAGAUGCAGCAAAGUAGGAAGUGUACAGCAAGAUUACCUCACCAUCGUUAACAGAUGUUCUCAUCUUCCCAACAGUUUGCUGUAUGUCAUCAGACACAAAGAUGCAAAGAAAUGUAAUAUCAAGCAAAAUCCUCUUCUGGCCAACCCUCCUAUGGAGCUACAGAGUGAAGGAGAUUCUGGAAAACAAUUCUCCACUUAACAAAGACAGAUAGUAGGAGAUACCACAAUGAGUAUGUGCCAUAUUGGGACUCCUCCUUCAACCUGGAUAAGAAUGAAGAAUACAUGGAAUUGAUCUACAGCUGGGACAGAGCUUCAGUCAAUCAACAGCCCUUAUAAACAUGAACAAGAAAUAAACACUUGGUGCAAU